AUGGCGGAGUAAUUUUAUAACAAUGGUUACGACGAAGAGGUGCGUUUGGGGAACCUGCAAAAGCGAUUCGCGGUAUCCUGAUCGUUUAAAACGAGACGCAAGUAGAAGUAAAGUAUUUUUUUUUACAUUUUCUUGGGGAGGAAUACCAUAGCGACAAGCGAGAGCGCUGGAUUCGUGGAUUCGACUGGUGCAGCUUAAAAAAGAAAUUUCAGGGCUUCCAUUUACUACAUGUUUCGAAGUUCAUGUAUGAGAACAAUAUUUCUUCGUGUAUUCAUAUUUUUUAGGAGUUUGCAACAUCAAAAGUUCGAAGCAAGGCAAUCGAUCAACAGGGCUCACUCACUCAGUACUAUGCUUAGUACUUUUUUAAAUAUCUAUCGGAGAAGUCUGGCUGGGAGAAUGGAAGAAAUUCAGACGCCCAAAUGACUUCUUUUACAAUAACGUGGAGAGGAAAGGAAACACACAAAAAGAUGAUGCGAAAAGCAGUGUGUCAUAUGAAUCUCAAUUUUUUGAACAAGAAAAUGAAUUUGGGGAUUU